rnacentral:rRNA from 1 species
UACGUAGGGGGCUAGCGUUGUCCGGAUUUAUUGGGCGUAAAGAGCGUGUAGGCGGCCAAGUAGGUCCGGUGUGAAAACUCGAGGCUUAACCUCGAGAUGUCAUCGGAAACCAUUUGGCUAGAGUCCGGAAGAGGAAAGUGGAAUUCCUGGUGUAGCGGUGAAAUGCGCAGAUAUCAGGAAGAACACCCGUGGCGAAGGCGACUUACUGGACACAUAUUGACGCUGAGGUGCGAAAGCGUGGGGAGCAAACAGG